CCUGGCUCUGGCGCGCCUCCCGCCGACGGCCCUCCCAGCCCCGACGCGCCUCUCGUCGUCGUCGCUCCGGCACGCCUCCCACCGCCGGCGCCCAUCCCCCGACGCGCCUCUCGCGGCCGUCGCCCCGGCCCCGGCGCACCUCUCUCCAUCCCCAGAUCGCCUCCCACCGCCACCCUCCAUCCCCACCACGCACCCACCACCGGACCGCCGCCGGCGACCGCAUCCCCUGGCUCGGCUGCACGUGACCAGGACCCCCCAUCUCCCAGCAAACCUCGCUGGUGCACGCUACCUCCCUCCUCCUAAGGUUGGGAGCGGUGUGAACUUCGAACAGAUCAGUGGUUGGACAAUCAGCAGUUAACUGCACCAACGCGACUGACGCCACCUCGCACGCGUUCGUCUUCGUCGACGGCGGUCAGCACCUCCAACGCAAAUCGAUUCAGCACCGUCUGUGCACGGCUCGGCUCCUGCGCUUUGUUGCCGCCACGGGACGCAGUGCACCUCCCGUCCUCUGCUUUUCUCCGUGGGAAACUGUCUGCCUCGUGUCGCCGCUUGCCCCUGCUACUGCUGGGAAUAAGCUAUCCCGCAACGCCCUGUACUCAAGCUGUAGCCAUGCUCUCUUUGGUCUCACGCACCAUCCCUACGGCAGCGAAGCUUCCCUCGAACCGGCCGCCAUGCAUCAAACUGAACUGCUGAGUUCAUUCCCCCAAAUUCCUACUAAGCGUACAGUAAAGAGGCGUACCCCGAACUCCUCCGUUACUUAACAAUAUGGUGUGCUUUCUGAUGGAACGGACUCGCAGUAAACUAGGCAAAAAAUCUCAUGUUUACGUGGAGACAAAAUAGUGGCCUUAAUCACCCUAUGUGUGUAGCAAUCGCUAGCUUCAAAACAGAGGCGUGUGCGUGUUUGUGCAUGUAAUUUAAGAAGAUGCAGCCAGCGAGAUAGUGGACAAAAGGAGAAGUGAUUUAAGCUGGUCCAUGGGUGAGAAGAGAUAAGUUGGGCCCAAAAAAGUUGAUUUACGGCCAUGUUGACCAAUAUGAUUUUAGAUUUAGAAAAUAUACAUGGUGGAAAAUAAAUCAGCAGACAAUAGUUA